UGGGGAAUAUUGCACAAUGGACGGAAGUUUGAUGCAGCGACGCCGCGUGGAGGGUGUAGGCCUUCGGGUUGUGAACUCCUUUUUCUCGCGAAAAAGGCACAGUUUUGGCUGUGUUGAUGGUAGUGGGGGAAGAAGCGCCGGCUAACUACGUGCCAGCAGCCGCGGUAAUACGUAGGGCGCGAGCGUUGUCCGGAUUUAUUGGGCGUAAAGAGCUCGUAGGUGGUUCGUCGCGUCUGUCGUGAAAGCCAGCAGCUUAACUGUUGGUCUGCGGUGGGUACGGGCGGGCUUGAGUGCGGUAGGGGUGACUGGAAUUCCUGGUGUAGCGGUGGAAUGCGCAGAUAUCAGGAGGAACACCGAUGGCGAAGGAAGGUAACUGGGCGGUUACUGACACUGAGGAGCGAAAGCGUGGGGAGCGAACAGG
rnacentral:rRNA from 1 species